rnacentral:rRNA from 1 species
CAGUCGCCGCGGGAAAACGUAGGUGGCAAGCGUUGUCCGGAAUUAUUGGGCGUAAAGGGCUUGCAGGCGGUUUCUUAAGUCUGAUGUGAAAGCCCCCGGCUCAACCGGGGAGGGUCAUUGGAAACUGGGAAACUUGAGUGCAGAAGAGGAGAGUGGAAUUCCACGUGUAGCGGUGAAAUGCGUAGAGAUGUGGAGGAACACCAGUGGCGAAGGCGACUCUCUGGUCUGUAACUGACGCUGAGGAGCGAAAGCGUGGGGAGCGAACAGGAUUAGAUACCCCCGUAGUCCCUGUCUCUUAUAC